UUUUUCACUCAUCUUUAUAUUUAGUAGGGGUAAUAUAAUUGAAACAUCAUAUAAUGGCGAGACUUGUGAAAUUACAUGUGAAGGUGUUCUAUAUAAGCUUUCUAUUGUUAUUGGUUUUUCAUGGAUGUAAGUUCUACACGUAUAACGAAUUUGUCAUGUUAUUUUUUUAAUAUAGACCCUAAUUAAUAUUAUCAUUUUUGGGUCUAUAGGUCUUGAAAGAAAUAAAAACAGUUAUAUGGGAGUAUUUGGGGCUCCACCACCAAAUUAUGUUCUAACUUGUGUUCUAGCAAAAACUACUAACGGGUAUUGUUUACUAUCACAAACCAUGUUAAUACCAUAACGUGAAAGAAGGUUGGCUGGAGACGUGGUGUGAUCGGAGAAGAAGACCGGAGGUGAUUGGAGAGAACAGUGGUCGGUGACGGAGAGAAACAGGGAAGAUGAUAGGUGGGUGUUCAUGUCACCGGAGAGUUGGAGUCGCCGGAGAAGAAGGUUGCUUGUGAUGGAUGUCGGAACGGUGGAGAUGAGACGAUGAAUGAAGUGACGAUAAACUGAGAUGAUGAUGAAGAUGUUUCGGAGAACUGUGGAGAUGAUUGAUGUAUGUCGAAAUCUCCUUUAGUCGGAAACAGAUGAUGAACAGUUGACCUUGGUGGUUUCGACUCACCAAUUCAAAAAUAGUUACUGGAAAUCGGAGUCGAAACCUAUUAUUUUGGGAAGAUGGGAGUCGAAACCGUUGAGAGAUGGGACUCGAGACCUGUGGAGAACUCCUUUGCAUGUGAUAUGACUCGAGACCGUGGAGGUUGCGACUCGAUAUAGGAGGACUCGAAACCAGAUGAUGUUGUGAUGCAGGAGGAUUGUUUCGACUCGGGAGAAUACAACUUGAAACCUUUUGGAAUGUUGACUGGAAACCUUUAUCGAAAUCUCUCGGUGUCGAAAUCAGAACUCCAAAACACUCGGACUCGAAACCGUCAAGUUGUGUCGAAACCUUGAGCCGAAACCUGUUGUGAAGUUGUGUCGAAACCUGUUUAGUCGGAAACCUGUUGAAUCAAAAACAUAGGAGAAGACGAAUGAUGAUGAUUCAGAUUGAAGUUGAUUGUCUUUGUUUCUAUCUCAAAUCAAUGAUUGUUUAAGAUACCGAAGAUAAUGUUACGAAGAAACGGAAUGGUAAUGUUGUAUAGAUGAAACAGAAAGUAGAAGGUGGUGAUGUGAAAGAUAACGAAGAUUGCAGGUUGUUAAAUACGGUGAUCAGAGCUGGUGAACCAUGAUGGACAGUGAACUAUGGGAAUCGGAGAGAUGACUCGAAACCUAAGAGGUGGUGCGAGUUGAAAUCGUGGAGAAUGAUAACGGUGGUUUCGACUCGGAAUCAGGAAAUGGUGUUGAAAAACAAAUCUCGACUACAGCUGUAUGUUAAAUAUGAUUUCACUUUUGGACCAAAAUGGCAAUAAAACGAAAACCACAGGGACCCAGAUGCAAAAGGUUUGAGUUUUGGACUAAAGUGGUAAAAGUGACCAAACCUCAAGGACCAAAAUAGCAGUUUAUUCAAAAUUUAAAAGUAAUCCUUUUAACAACCUUUUCAAAAAUUAAAACACCAAAAUAUAUUUAUUUUUUUGAUAAAAUUUGGAUAAACACUAUGAAAAACGCCAAGAACACGAUGAACAAAACUUUCAAAUCUUGAAUAUUUGGUAUCAAACCGAGCCUAAAAUAGGUUCUAAAGGCUCUGAUAUCAAUUGUAAGUCCCGAAACCAGAUCUUUUAAUGAUAUCAAACAAUCUAUUGAUUGUGCGGAAUCCAAUCAAUAGAUGAUUCAAGAAAAACACAAAAAUACGAAGAACACAAUACCGAAUCACUUUCAAUACUUACACAUGUUCUAUUACUUGAAUAAGCAAAACGUCUGACACAAGUAUCCUACACCACAAUCGCCUCUCUCUGACUCUAUAGGAAAUUCUGAAACAAUGAGGCUCAAACCCUAAAACAAAUUGAAAACUUUACUUAGGGGCUGUUUGGCAACAUCUGAAUGGUUAAGUGCUGAAUCAGUAAGAGGUCCGAACCAUUAAGAGUAUGUAUAAAGUUUAACCAUUCAGAGGCAAAUGUCUGACCAAUUCAGAUUAGAGGUCUUAACCAUUCACACUUUGUAUAAAUGUUAACCAUUCAGAAGCAAAUGUCUGAACCAUUCAGACAUUUGCUUGUUUAAACAAACAGUUUGAACUGUUAAGUGCUGAACCAGUAAGAGGUCUGAACCAUUAAGAGCCUCAUUAAUGUGGGUCCCUGCAAUCCCGAAUGGAUCGUAACAAGACUACUAAUCUAUCAAGGGUGCAGAAUCCCCUUGAUAAACCUUCAAACCAGAAACAAGAAUAUUAGACGAAGAACACAAACGCAAUUCAAUCAAUCUGGUCUUCUAUUGAUUAUCCAACAUAAAUGUUUACAAUCAAUUCAAGACCACUCGAAAUCUCCUAGCCACUCUCUAUAGAUUUCGAAAACUCUCUGUCUAUUUUCUCUAACUGGCUAACCUCAACCCUAAUGCAUCAUGCUGUUUAUAUACUACAGCCAUGUUUGCAUACUGGGCUUUGGUCUGGGCUUGGCCAUUCUCCUAGCCCAUUAAAAUAACUAACUUACUAACCAAUAUGCUAAGCCCAUUACAAAAUAUCCAAAGACUAAAUAAUCAAACUAUUAAGCUGUUGUCAAAUAAUAUGCACUAACAAUUAAGAGGUAAACAAACAACCCCUUACUCAGGUCCACUUCCUUACAUGGGCUCCCCUUGGGCUUGCUCGGCCCACAUGGCCUAAAGCUUGGCCUAAGUGACCCAUAAAGGUCCAAAACCUAAUACAAACUAACCCGAUAAGGCCCAGUUCGUAACCAUAGCCCGUUGUGUUUGUGACACUUCGGUUUUCCCGGAUAACCUUUCGAUGUAACUUACGUGUAUAUGUGUUUUUGAAUGAAAAUUUGAACUAUUGUGUUACAUGUUAU
rnacentral:lncRNA from 1 species